AAGGAUAUAGCUCAGAGGUAGAGCGCAUGCUUAGCAUGCACAAGGUCCUGGGUUUAACUUCCAGUACCUCUA
rnacentral:tRNA from 1 species